rnacentral:lncRNA from 1 species
AUGGACGUGCUCUCCAAGUGUAAGCGCUGCUCUCACCGAAGGGCAACUCUGCACUGGCACUGGGGAAGGAGGGGAAGGGAGGAGCGAGAGGGGACAAUCCCCUCCCACCCUGUGCAGCGACACUACUCACGGGUUCCCACUCGAGGACACGGCUCUGGUGGAGGACGCAGCCCAGUCUCGUGUACCAGAAGAAGAGGCCGCAGGAAAAUGUCCUGUGCUGGAUGGACCAGUACCUGGGGGAAGCUGUGUGCUGGUCCACUAGUAAUCCUACAGAGGCCUUUCCUAAAAUGGCCACUGUUCCGAGAUCUUGGUGCCACCAAGCUUCGCUCUGACACAUCACCAACAGGAGCUCUUACCACCCAGGUGGAAUUCACUUCUAGCCAUAACUUGGAAGGGCAGAGCUGUAGCUUCCAUUGUGGCCAUGGGUACAAACCAGCCAUCCAGCUCUCUGCCAUCCACAAUGGGAUUCAAAGCUGCCUCUCAGCUUUAGAGAGUAAAGAUCUGUGCUGCUCUUGGUACAGUAGACAUCUGGAGUUACCAAGACUGGAGCAAUUUGACCCCUGAAUCUUCUUAUCUUGAAAACAGAUUUGGAGAGAGGUAUUUAAAAUUUUAGAGUUAGAGCAAAGAUAAAUCCUUCCAGGGCAAGCAUUUCCAAAAUAUAACGAUGGGCCGCAAUUUAUUCAUUUGAGCAGAGGAAUCGUGAGAGCUACUUGAGUUUUACUAUAAUGGUCUUAACAAUUGAUCAUGAAAGUGUACCGUCACCAUUAUCUUAGGUGAUAGGUCUUCGAUAAGUCUAUAAGAUAUAAUUAUGUUACAAAUGUUUGUGCACAGUGCAUAUAAUAUAUAUGAAAACAAUAAUGCCAUUUCAUAACACUGAAGAGUGUAGAACAGCCACAUCUGUUAACCUCGAUUGUUUUUAAAUUACUUUUUCAUACAUGUGUUUAUCAAUUCCUUGGAUUUAUUCUGUAAUUGUUUGAAUUUCUUAAGCUCAAGCAAGAAUAAAGAAUGAGAUAAUAAAGGAUAAGUGGAGAAAACAACUAAAAAAAUGAAAAGUAUCAUUCUAGUUGGAAGUUAGUUCUUUAAAACUUAAAAUGAACCCUAAUGACAUAAUGUGCACCUGUAAUCCCAGCUAUUUGGGAAGCUGAGGCAGGACGAUCAAAAGUUCAAGACAGCCUGGGAAACUUAGUGAGACCCUGUUCCAAAAUAAAACUUAUAAAGGGGUGGAGAUAUAGCUCAGAGUUUCCUGGGUUUAAUCCCCAGUACUUCAAAAACAAAUAAGUAAAUAAAUACAUACAAAUUAGCAAGCAUGUUUUACAACAUUUCUUGAUCUAUCAGUUAUUAAGAAUCACCUUAAAAUCUCCUACUUUGAUGGGCCAAUUAUUAUUUUAUCUAUUUUGGAUUCACAUUACUAGGCAUUUAUAAGCUUAGAAUAGUUCAACAUUUAAGUAAGUAAAUCUUUAGUUAAUAGGGAGUCUUUCCAUCACUUAUACUUUUGUCUGAAAUCGUUUAUCAAAUGUGUCUAUUGUAGCUCUUUUUUAUUUAGUGUUUUGCCAAGUUAAUUCUCCAUUUUUUUGUUCCACUUUUAGAUAAAGCUUUUGUAAUCACCAUACAGCUAGAAUUUGAAAAAUUCAUUCUGAGUAUAUUUUUUUAAACAGAAAGGCUUGUGCACUUAUAUUGGCUAUGAUUUCUGAUGUAUUAAUUUUUGAUAUUUUUUUGACAUUCUGUUUGUCUCAUGCAUUGUUUCUCUCCCCUGCUGGACAUGUUCUUGUUCUUUGAUUUAUUGAUUUUCCUCCUGUGCUUUACUGUCUUCUCUCUACCAGGUUUUAAAUUAUGGAUUAUAUUUCUGUUCUUUUAGUGGUUACUUAAGAAAGGUAACCUUCCAGUGUCUAAAGUUGAUUUUAAAACACAAAGGCCUUGGAACAUUUUAAUCCCAACCAUUACUUCCUGAUUUAAAACCUCACAAAUGAAGCUGUAAUUAUGCUAUACACGAUUGAUAUGUAUAUAUUUGCCUUUAUGCUUGCCAUAUUCUUUUCUUACCAUCGCUUCUUGAAGAUUAGGCCUUCCUAAGAUAGUUUUUGUUUUGCUGGGGUACAUCCUUUGAAUGUGCUUAACAAAAAUCUAUUAGUAUAAAUAAUUUGUCAGAAAAUACCUUCAGUAUACUUAUUUUUGAAAAGAG